AUUUUGAAGACCAAGGCGACAAAAAGUGUUGAAGUUUGUAUUUCCCAGAUUAUUUCUACCUGAUAGAAAUACUUGUUUCUGCUCCACUGGCAGUUGGAUGACGCACAAGCAGAGCAAGCAGGAAGCCUUGCUCCUUGAGAAUCACCGUACGUAUCUGAGAAAACUCCGGCAGCUCUGGUGUCCACACGACUGGCUUGCAAGUCUCUUUGAUGUGACGACGUUCACAGGGGCCUUGAACCUACUGAACUCUCUGUGUCUUGCAGUCUACCACCCCCC
rnacentral:lncRNA from 1 species